AACGAACGUUGGCGGCGUGGAUUAGGCAUGCAAGUCGAACGAAUCCCACCUGGGCAACUGGGUGGGGGAAGUGGCGAAAGGGGCAGUAAGGCGUGGGUAACCUGCCCCGGAGUUCGGAAUAGCCUUCCUAACGGAUGGAUAAUACCGAAUGCCGUGCGAGGGGGGCCUCCCUCUUGUACGAAAGCUCCGGCGCUCCGGGAGGGGCCCACGUGGUAUUAGCUAGUUGGUGGGGUAACGGCCCACCAAGGCCAAGAUGCCUAGCAGGUGUGAGAGCACGACCUGCGCCACUGGCACUGGGACACUGGCCAGACUCCUACGGGAGGCUGCAGUCGAGGAUCUUCGGCAAUGGGCGCAAGCCUGACCGAGCGACGCCGCGUGCGCGAUGAAGGCCUUCGGGUUGUAAAGCGCUGUCGGGAGGGAGAAACCCCGCAAGGGUUGAUCGACCUCCGGAGGAAGCACGGGCUAAGUUCGUGCCAGCAGCCGCAGUAAAAC
rnacentral:rRNA from 1 species